CCUGUUGCACGUCCAACAGUUGCCUACCUGGACGUGCGCGAUGGGUAACCGUCGGGUGUGAAGCUCCGGGGACAAUGUACUUCCCGAAAGAAGGCUCACCUCGGCGACGAGGAAGGAGUCGACACUGCCAGCCGCCGUGCGGUGUGAAGG
rfam:Burkholderia udeis isolate LMG 27134 genome assembly, contig: contig000127